GCGGGGUACAGAACUGCAGGUCCAUUGUAUCCACAGUUUCGGGUUAUGGCUGAAACCAGCCAGAGAUGGUCACAUGUGAACUUUGCAUCAUGGAUGGGGAAAGAAUUAGUCAUAUCAUAACAUUUCUUAUCUCCUGGCUCAGACAUUUGAAUCUCAGUGUCUCAUAAUAUUGAUAUUUGAGAUUAGCAUUAGCAGUGGAGCUGAAAGAAGUCUUGCUCAGAAAAUAAGUUAUUCUCCCUCCCUGCCCUCCCUCUCAUUUUCUUCCAAAUGUCCUCCCACCCACCCAUUUAACUUUGCUGUGGGGGUAGCAGUGGGAGGUAGGUAGCAGUCUCCCUCCCUCUGCCACCUGCCACACUGUCACUGCUACAACUUGAACCAAGCCCAUUACUAGAAAAGAAUGGGCGUGAUAGUACAGCGUGGAUAUGCUUUCAUUCUGCAUUGACAGACGAAUGAGGAGUCCCACUCAUCUGGCCUGUGCAAGAAUGUCUGGCUUACUUUGCAUAGGUUGCAUUGUCAUGCAGAUGUCUGUUUGCAGUUUUGCAUGCAUUGCACACACAAUCCAGUGGAUCUGCUGCCCCAUCUUCAUGGCUUUGCCUGCACGGAGCAGCAAUGAGCUGUGCCCAUGGAGAGCAGAGACUGGCCCUGUGUUUACCUUCUGCGCUGACUGAGUGAGGGUUUGUAAAUGCAGGGCUGGUGCUCCAUGUGUACAAGGUGCAUACUGUAUAUAAUGUGGUCAUUUUAGACUGUGGUUCUCAUGUGAGUUCAUUACCCAUCAAAACAGUCAGCUAGUUGUUUAUUUUGUAUACUUUGCUGUGCAGCAGUGGUUUCAAAUAUAUAUUUUACCUAGAUGUGACACUGAAAACUCUGGGUUUCAACACAAAUUGCUUACUACCCAGUGUGGUACUAGAGGUUAGAGUGCUGGACUAUGACCAGGGAGACCCGAGUUCAAAUCCCCAAUCGGCCACGAUACUUGCUGGGUGACUCUGGGCCAGCCACUUCUCUUUCAGCCUAACCUACUUCACAGGGUUGUUGUGAGGAGAAACUGAACUAUGUACUCUGGGCUCUUUGGAGGAAGAGUGGAAUAUAAAUGUAAACAAAUAAAUACAAAUAAAUACUAGAUAAAGAAAUGGAUAGUUAGAAAGUGUUUAGAAUGUUUCUGCUUGGGCCUUUGCAAUAACCUUCACAUGAAAGGGCUUUCAACAUGAGAGAGCCAACUUUGUUUCCUUUUCCCAGGAGCCCACUGUAUGGUAAACAGACCCACAGGGAAUUAACCACCUGGCUGUGGAGGGCCAAAGUAAGCAUUGAUGCCCACUGUAGAGUAGAGUGGAGUUGUCAUAAAGUUGCAGCACUGGAUCUAGGGUCACCUUCUAGCAGGGCUGGAUCCAGGUUUCAGGGGAGAAACUUGGAUCCCUGAACUGGGGGGCCCUCCUAUCUGGGAGACCACGCUUUAGAUCCAUGGCGGAUGUGAUGGGAUGGGAUGACAGAGCGGCUCUCUGGGCCAAGAGUGUCACUCUGCUACCACUGCAUGAAGGCUAUAGGCAGGCACAGUGGUAGUCUUGGUGAUUGGCACUGAAUGGCCCUUGGCAACUGCCUGAUGAUGCUAGCCGCUGGUUCUGGCCCUCGUCUUCUGGAUAUCCUUGUCAGACUGAACUCAAUACAAAAACCAUCCUGGAAGGCUGCAUGAAUGGAGCAGUCAGUGACAGUGUCCUAGUGUGCAGCUUAGGUUGCCUCGAUCCAGCAGGUUGUGACUGUUGCAAUAUGAACACUUCCUUAAUUUCACUUUCUGUCUGUUGCCUCAGUUCUAUAUCGGUGACUGAAGAGCUGCCGUUGCUGUUGAAUGGCUCUCCCAAGACCCAAGCGCAACUAUGAAUGGGAAAACUCCUCCGCCUUCCUUUCUCCAACCUUUCUUUUCUCCCCGCAGAACUGUAUCAGAACACUGCACUCCCGCUUCACUUGCUAAUGACCUCCGCUGAGCCUAUGACAGCAUCCCUUGGGGGACUCCGGGUGGUGGGGCGGAGGGGGAGGGAAAGGGCCUCAAUCUGGCAGCAAUUAUAGGAGGGAAAGUUAACUCCCCUCCCCAGUUGCUUCAAACAUCAAUGUGUCAAAACAAAGAACUGAAACAUUUCAAACGCCAAAUUCAAAUGUCACCAGCAAUAAGGGCCUACACUUUCAAGCAGCAGCAAAACACGGCUGCGGCCCUUUUAUCCACCACUAGCAUCUUGGCUCAAAUUUGGCUUCCAUUAGGCCUGUGAGGCUUAAAAAAAAGGAAAAGAAAAGGCAAUAAGAGAUUAUUCUGUCAAAUGGAAAUCAGGGAGGUGGUUGUCUCCAUUCUGUCUCCUGGUUCCUCUCUGCUCAGUGCUCUGUCCUUUCUCUGAGUAGUAAGAAUUUUCAGAGCCUUCCUAUAGCAUGAGAGGCUAUUUCUAGUUUGGAGAGACAAAAGUAUUGUUGCUUCCUCUAGGGAAAAAGAAAUAACAACACUGAAUGGGCAGCAGCCAACGAUUGCCUGAUUUGGAGACAAGGUGGCAGCAGACAGUUCUCAUUUUUAAACAUAGGGCUGCCAAAUUUUGAUUUCCAAAAUUCUGGUACCUUGCUGGGGUCGCAGGAUUUGCUGCUGCCUAGACUAUGGCUUUGCUGCGGGUAUAGCAGGGUCACUCUUUAUUCAUUUAUUUAUUUAUUUAUUUAUUUAUUUAUUUAUUUAUUUAUUUAUUUAUUUAAAAUAUUUCUGUCAAAUUCCUCCAGGGCAACAUUGCUCGGGGCAGCUCACAAAAGCAGGUACAACCAUUCUUUUCUCACUCUGCAUGCCAGAGGCUGGUGCUGUUCAUCAGCCCUGUACUGGAGAUGGCCUGUGGCUGUCUAUGCUGGGGUGUACAGCGGUGUCUGCCUUACAGAUGGAAACAGGGCUGGGACCUCCGCAAAGGAAAAAGCAGCUGGGGAGGCAGCUGCAGGGGAAACUCAUAAAAUGUGUCCCCCCCCACACCUGCAGCACUUGAAAGUGACGCUUUAUCUACCUCACUCUGACCUCAGGAUGAUGUCAGAUCUUCCAUUGUGAUGCACCUAUUGUUCUUCAGCAUCACACAGAGAGUGAGAGAGACAGAUAUGCUAGGUGGCAGAAGCAGAGUGAGGAAGGGGAAACAGGUCUUGCUGGAGAGGUUUGAUUCCCAUUAGAUGGCAGGAAGGCAAAAGGGAGCUACCCAAGAGGUAUUCCUUAGGCCAGGGUUGGCCUAAGACAUUUGCUACUUCCAAACAGUCUGACAGGUUUGCCCCAGAAUGCCACCGAGAAUGUGACAUUGAUGGUGGCAGGGCCAGAGGUUGGGCAGCUGCUGAGGGCCCUCAGAAGGGCCUGCUCACGUCAUCGAGACCUCCUCUGUGCCCACAACCUUCAAGUGGUGACAGCAGAACAACUCUCUUGGGGACAACCCAGCUGUGCAUGAUGCUUCCAUCCCACACCUGGCAAGAGAAGAUGUUGUCAAGGAAGUGGCUGGUGCAAUUCUGGAACAAGUUGGGAAUCUCAAAAGAGUGCAGAAGACCGCUCCCUAAAAGGUGAAGCAAAUGUUUCAUAAUUUAUAGAAACCAUUUCAAACCCCACCCUAUUCUUGUCAGGCAUGAUAAACAUGGGAGAAUACGUUUUUAAAUCAUGAAUUUGUCAUUGCAGAAUGUCAGACUCUUCCAGAUGAAUGAGGACCAAUUGUCCUGCUAGGCCAUAGGUGCAUACAAACAAUACAAAUGCUAAGUGCAAAGGGACCAUCGCUGGGUACGUAUUUGCAGGAAUGAACUCAAGAACCUUGUGUAUUAUUUUGUCUAGGAGAAGACCACACACUCAAGUCUGAUGUAAGGUAAGGUAAUUAUGUAUUAAAAUAAAAAUUAGGACACAAGACUCAGGGGAAACAAAAAAAUCAGUAUGCCUAGAAGAGAGAGUAUUUGAACCCAAAGUCUCUAAACAGCACAGGGGCCCAAUAUUUUGCUGCUGAAAGGAAAGGUCCUUGGCCCCAUGUCAAGAUUAAGACAACACUUCUGGACCAGGAGAAAAGCCUUUCAGGUGUCUUCUUGUCAGGUAAGAGUGAUGUCACUUUACAGGGCUGGCUUUCUUGAAAGGCAGAGGAAACGUGGUUGCUAUUUUCUCCCCUCCUUUCUUCUCCUCAACUCUCUUCACAGGUUUAAAAGGGAUUUUUUAAAAAUAAGAAAGCAGAGCAGAGCACUAGAUCGUGGAAAGUGCUAUCACUACCCCUCCGACUCAUAAUGCAACCAAAGUAGUUAAGAAAGAAGGAAUAACAUUUUACUUCUGGUCUAAGAUCUACAAAAUGACAACAGUAAAGCCAAAAGCUAGAUUCAGUUUUCCAUAUGAAGGAAGGUACAUUCAAUACACCUCACCUGCUACAGCCAGUACUAGUCAGACAGGUAAGUGAGACACCACUAUUUGCUCUCACUGACGGUUUCCCCCCCAGACUGUAGAAGAGAAACUAGGAUAUAGGUAUACAACUGGAAGAUGCCACGUGAGUAGCAAAGAGAGAGAUAUAAGUGUGCAGCUGAAAUCAUAAACCUGAAUAGGAAUGAGUUGAGCAAUGGGCCACUUCUAAAUACAAGAACACUCAGGUAAGAAUUUCAGCUUCGGCAUUGUUCUCUUUGGACUGCAAAACAUGUUUCUCUGUUGUGAUGACUCCUUGAAUAGGUUGUUGACUUCAGAGGCAAUGAAGUAAGAUCUGAAAGGGGAAAGUCCUGAACUCCUCUCAAGAUCAAGGCCAUGCUUCUGGACUAGGAGGUAGGGCCUUCAGGUGUCUUCUUGUCAGGUGAGAGUGAUGUCUCUUUACAGGACUACUGUAGCUUUUGUGAAAGGCAGAUAAACAGUGGCUGCCAUCUUCUCUACAUAGGGUUGAAAGGAUUGCAAAACGUGUAAAAGGUCUUUGGACUGCAAAGCAUGUUUCUUUGUUGUGAUGACUCUUUCAACAGAUUGUUGCUUUCAGUGGUGGUAGUGGUGGUGGAGUGAGAACUGAAGAGGUCAGUGACUUGGAGUGAUGGGACUCCCAAGCAAAACAUAGGAAAACAAAGGUAUUAGCUCACCGUAGGACAGUAAUGGGAUCUGACCAUAACUAAAACUGCUGCUGCUACAAAGAUGGAGGCAGAAUAUUUAUGAAUAUCAGCAUUCCUCACUAAGAGCCAGAGAAGUAAGCAAAAUGAUCCCACCAUUAUAACUAAUGGCAUUUCUAGAUUGGCUGCUGCCCAUAUUCCCGACUGGGCAGUGGACAUUGAGGUGGACCAUCUGGAAGAUGUGGGAGUCUUCUCAGAAAAUGGACCACCUCAGUGCUUAGCACGGCCAUCCAGCUGUGUGGAGUAUAUAGCUUCUAAAUUUCACCCAUCAGCCCUGUAAACUGGUGCAGACCAGAGUCAGCUGAAGGCUCUUGCCUACUGCAUGCUGUGAGGAUUGGAUGCACUCACUAAACCAGUGCAUCCAUCCCUCUGAAGGAGAGCUGCUGAGAUAUGCUUUUGGAACAAAGAAUGCAAGUCAUGCUGGAAUCAAAUCCCACAACAUUUCAAAACUUGACAAAGCAUUCAAAGUUUUUUUUAAAGUUUUCAAGUUUCCAACAUGGUCAAGGUUUCAUUUCGGAAACUUCAGAUUGGAGGGAUACCUAUUUUAAACACUAGCUCUUGCUGAUGGAUUGUAAGGCCAUGACACCUCCAAAUCCAACAAGCAUUUGUAACUAGAAAUCUUGGGAAAAAUGAAAUUUAGGCUUGCUUUUUUUAAAAAAAAAUCUGUUAUUUUUACUUGAACAAAGACAAUUUGUCUGAAAAAAUCUCCCCAAUUCAUCCCUGUUGUGAAAUGCAAGUGCUUUACAAGGUACAGCCAGAAGCAUUAUGGCGGGUGGAGAUGGGCCAGGGCCGCUGUGGAGCUGUUCUAGACCUGAUGCACAAGAAGCAACUCAGCUGCCUCCACCAAAGAGGAGAUAAUGCUGAACUGAUACCUGACUGAACUGAUAUCUGAGAAUGAUGGGAUUUUCAGGCGGUCAUGGGGAAUGAUCAGUCUGGCCUGAGCGAGCGGCAGUUUCUGGUCUUUGCUGACAUGUCCAGGGUAGCACUGACCGCCGCUUUGGGGUCGGGAAGGAAUUUUCCUCCAGGGCAGAUUGGCCAAGAUCCUGGAGGUUUUUCGCCUUCCUCUGGACAUCCAGCAGGGAUUACAUAUUAGGCUAUUUUAGAAAUGAAUAUAAAUUAAAUAUGAUAAUUUAAUUUUUUUUUUGCAAAAGCUGAACUCAGCAAAUAAAAAUAGAAUAAAAAAAAUUAAAAGAAAAUUAAUAAAAAGCCAUAAACACA